ACCUUAGAUGUUCUGGGCGGCCCGCGCACUACAAUGGCGCUUUCAGCGAGUUCCUAUGUUGAAUUUUCCUGGGUAUUCUUGGAAGCGGCGUCUUGACUUGGGAUAGAUCCUUGUAAUUGUUGGUUUUGAACGAGGAAUUCCUUGUAAUCGCGGUUGAUCAGCUCGCGUUGAAUACGUCCCUGCCCUUUGUACACACCGCCCGUCGCUCCUACCGAUGAAUCGUCCGGUGAAGUUCACAGAGUGGCGGUUCGUGGAGUUGCUCGCGAAGUGAAAUGGACCUCACGAUUUAGAGGAAGGAGAAGUCGUAACA
rnacentral:rRNA from 1 species